rnacentral:rRNA from 1 species
CAGGAUGAACGCUAGCGGCAGGCCUAAUACAUGCAAGUCGACGGUAAAUCCCCUUCGGGGGAUUGAGAGUGGCGGACGGGUGCGUAACGCGUAUGCAACAACCCCCCUCGCCGGGACUAGCCGGUGGAAACGCCGGAUAAUACCGGAUGCGCCGCAGGGGAGGCAUCUUCCCGGCGGCAAGGCGGAGACGCGGAGGGGGCGGGCAUGCGUCCCAUUAGAUAGUAGGCGGGGCGACGGCCCACCUAGUCGACGAUGGGUAGGGGAUCUGAGAGGACGGUCCCCCACACUGGUACUGAGACACGGACCAGACUCCUGCGGGAGGCAGCAGUAAGGGAUAUUGGGCAAUGGGGGUAACCCUGACCCAGCCAUGCCGCGUGAGGGAAUGAGGCCCUACGGGUCGUGAACCUCUUUUAUUCGGGGACAAGGACACCCACGUGAUGGGUGUUUGAGGGUACCGAAGGAAUAAGCGUCGGCUAACUCCGUGCCAGCCGCCGC